UUCGGGGNUUAACCCCGUGAUGGGAUGGAAACUGCCAAUCUAGAGUNUCGGAGAGGAAAGUGGAAUUCCUAGUGUAGCGGUGAAAUGCGUAGAUAUUAGGAAGAACACCAGUGGCGAAGGCGACUUUCUGGACGAAAACUGACGCUGAGGCGCGAAAGCCAGGGGAGCGAACGGGAUUAGAUACCCCGGUAGUCCUGGCCGUAAACGAUGGGUACUAGGUGUAGGAGGUAUCGACCCCUUCUGUGCCGGAGUUAACGCAAUAAGUACCCCGCCUGGGGAGUACGACCGCAAGGUUGAAACUCAAAGGAAUUGACGGGGGCCCGCACAAGCGGUGGAGUAUGUGGUUUAAUUCGACGCAACGCGAAGAACCUUACCAGGUCUUGACAUUGAUGGACAGAACUAGAGAUAGUUCCUCUUCUUCGGAAGCCAGAAAACAGGUGGUGCACGGUUGUCGUCAGCUCGUGUCGUGAGAUGUUGGGUUAAGUNNNNNNACGAGCGCAACCCCUAUCUUAUGUUGCCAGCACUUUGGGUGGGGACCCAUGAGAGACUGCCGCAGACAAUGCGGAGGAAGGCGGGGAUGACGUCAAAUCAUCAUGCCCCUUAUGACCUGGGCUACACACGUACUACAAUGGGAGUUAAUAGACGGAAGCGAGAUCGCGAGAUGGAGCAAACCCGAGAAACACUCUCUCAGUUCGGAUCGUAGGCUGCAACU
rnacentral:rRNA from 1 species